CGGUUGGCGACCGGCGCACGGGUGAGUAACGCGUAUGCAACCUGCCCGAUACCGGGGUAUAGCCCAUGGAAACGUGGAUUAACACCCCAUAGUACUUUUAUCCUGCAUGGGAUGUGAGUUAAAUGUUCAAGGUAUCGGAUGGGCAUGCGUCCUAUUAGUUAGUUGGCGGGGUAACAGCCCACCAAGACGAUGAUAGGUAGGGGUUCUGAGAGGAAGGUCCCCCACAUUGGAACUGAGACACGGUCCAA
rnacentral:rRNA from 1 species